rnacentral:rRNA from 1 species
CCUACGGGAGGCAGCAGUAGGGAAUCUUCCGCAAUGGACGAAAGUCUGACGGAGCAAUGCCGCGUGAGUGAAGAAGGUUUUCGGAUCGUAAAGCUCUGUUACUGGAGAAGAACAAGGGUAAGAGUAACUGUUUACCCCUUGACGGUAUCCAGUCAGAAAGUCACGGCUA